UCCAGUUCCCAUUUUCCCCAAUUUCUCCCCUCCGCCUCCCAAAUUUGCCUCCGCCUUCAAUCUUCGGCUUCACUCAUUUUUUACUCAGCAAUGUGUAUCCCCUUUUAGGUACUUAAUUCUAUUGCGUGGUCGGCGUAAAGAUGGAAAAUUGGUGAGACGAUUUCCUUAAUGUAAAAUUGUGGGAUGAAUCUGAACUUCGAAGUUCGAUAAGAAGCAGCAAGGCUCAAACCACUCCUUUUCUCGGUAGAUCUAAAUUAAUGAUGGUGUGGACAACGUCGGCUAUACAAGGUGAAUAAAUUACAUAAAAUUACCAGAUAGAUUAGCAUAUAAUUCAUUAGUGAUAUUUUGGGGGAAAAACUCCUCGUAUUUCUUGGUGUAUAUUUAUUUUCUUUAAAGUGAGAAUGAGCAAUCCAAAGGUGCAUAUACUACUUUAUUUUCUUUUUGUUUCAUCUACUUUACUAUAUGCGACCUUAAUUUGUGUUUGUAAUUGUUUUUCAACUUUACUUGUAUUUGGAGAUCUGAGCCAAGGAUUGUGAUGAAUUUUUUGUUUUUUAUUUUUGGGGUAGGGCUUGGAUUCAAAGGUAUGCAGACUAAUUUAUUACAUUGAAAGGCAUAUUGAAGGAGCUUCAGGAUCCGUAGAAGGAUCUUCUGUUGUAGGCUAAUUUGGAAAUGAAAGAAGUCUCCCACACCCUGCAGUGUUGGUAUGUCGGCUCUACAUCCUAUUUUUCCUUCCACUUCUCAUUUUUUUAUGGUUCCUGAACUUAUUGUCUUAGUUUUGUUAGCUUAUGACCAAUAUUUAGGUCCUCGUGUGAACUUCUGGUGUGUUCUGUGGCUUUGUGAGGUUCUUGUUGCUAAGUUUAGAACAUGGAGCAUAAGAACAAGCUUGAUUUAGUAAUUGUAACAUCCGACAAUUUAAAAUGAAUAUGAAGAAGCUUGAAAUUGGAAGUAGUCAUUUUUGGAAAAAAUAUUUAGAAUCUGGAAAUUCAGCCAAGUGUGGAAAUCAGUGAGUUUUUGGCCAACUUUGAGCAGUCAUACUCCUAGAUCAGGAUGAUCCAGGAGUAGUUCCAGUUAUGUUUGGAAAGCCCUUGGAACGAUCUUUCCAACGCCACCGAGUUUGCUCAAUUCCGAGUUCGUAUGAGCGAGUUAUGCCCUUUGAAAGUUGGGCAGUUGGCAGGGAAUCCGUCCGGAAAAUUUAAGGGCAUUUUGGUCUUUUCACAAAUCUUUUCUUUUGAGGUUAUAUUGUUGUGUUAGGCUGUUUGUGGAUCAUUUUUGUUCCAUUUUAAAAGAGUAAGAGUUAGGGUUCUUGAGAGUGAAGAAGAAGAAGAACUUGGAGCUAGGGCUUGGUUUGAAGACGUUUUCUUCAUCAAAUUUCUUGGGGAAUCUUAGUAAAGGUAUGGGAGUUCUUUAUCUAGGGCAAGCUAUCACCCUAGAGCCAAUUUCAAAUGGUUUUCAACUUUUCCAAAGUUUGUGAAAAAGCCUAAUUUCUACUCAAACUCAUGGGUUCUUGCAUGAAAUGAUUUCAAAUGAUAAGUUAUGAUAUUAUUGAUGUUUAUUUGAUGUUUUAAGAUGAAAAACUCCAUGAAUCCUUGUAUCCUACAAAACCCUAAAAUGUGUUUAUGAAGUGGGUCUAUUUCUAUAAAUUCAAAGUUGAUGGAAUUAUGUGUAAAGUGAAUUGUAUUGAUAUCUCUUGUGUUGUUUAAUUUUUAUUCAUGAUUAAUUGUUGAUAAUGGGUGAAUUAAGGGUGGUAAGCCUUAUGGGUGAAGUAUUGGUGAUUGCUUGGAUUUUUGGUGAUUUUGGCUAUGGCUUUGAAUUAUGGUAAGAAAGCUUGAACUCUCUUUAUUGAAUUUGAAGCUAUAUGUGAAGGAAUGAUGUGAAUGAGUUUUAUGUGAAGCUAUAUGUGAAGGAAUGAUGUGAAUGAGUUUUAUGUGAAGCUAUAUGUGAAGGAAUGAUGUGAAUGAGUUUUAUGUGAAGCUAUAUGUGAAGGUAUGAUGUGAAUGAGUUUAUGUGAUCUUGUGAUGAUCCUAUGUAAAGUGGAUAGCAUUGUGAGUUAAAGUAUGAUUUCUCAUGAUGUAUAUAUGAAAUGAUGUUGGAUUAUGAAGUAUCCUUAAAUGAAAAUGUUGUGACUUGGUUGGUAGACUAAAGUGUCCCUCCUUGUUACUUAAAGUCUUGAAUGCAUGAAUGUGUGAAAUGGGCAAAACUAAGAAAUGGUGCCCUUUCAUAAGUCUAGCUUUCCUAAGUAAAUGUAAAACCAUGAAAUCGGUAGACCUAAUGGUGGUAGCCCUUCUCAUGUGUGAAAUGAUGAACCUUGGAUCGGUAGGCCUAAGGCACCCUUCUAGGGGGAUUUAAUGAGCUAUCCUUAUGAACCUUGAUUGGCCAUGACUAAGAAAUGGGGCCUUUCUUGGGAAGAGGUACUAUGAGUUGGUUGAACUAGAAAAGGAACCUUCUCUAAGUACAUAUGUGAUUGAAUACUCUAUGGGAAACAAGGCUAGCACCGAGUGGAUGUGGUUAGGAAGGUGGCCUAGUUGAGUAUGAGAUUAGGCACAAUGAACUUCCUUGGACAUCCCCUAAACCAUGUGCCUACAUGGGAUGUGUCCUAGUUCUACCCUUGGCAAGUAGAACACCUUCCACGGUGUAGGGUUUUAUGACACCGGAUUCCAUGUCUAGCUUGCAUGGUCUAUGUCGGUUAAUGCCUAUUCCCAUCAUGUGGGAUGUGCACUCUAGUUAUUGGAUAGGUUCUACAACGUGUAGGUAGUAGUAUGGGAUGCUAUCUACACAUGGCACGAGUAGGCUUUGAAGAUACUAAAGUGAGUUCCCUAAGUCUAACGACUAUUAUGUGAAAGUCCCCUUAUGUGCUUGAAUGUCUCCAAAAUGGUUUCUUAAAGAAUGUUGGUCUAUUGAUGUUAUGUUGUAAAGGAAAUGUCCUUAUCUAAGGUAAUCUUGGGGAACACUUAAGUGUGCUUGAAGAGGUUGUAUGGGCGGUCACUUCUUGUCUCACUCAAGUGUGUCUUAAGGUUAUAUUAGGUAGAGGUCCUAUGGUAAUGAAAUGACAUGUGUUCUUUUAAAGUUAAGCAUGGGUUGUAUGUGGAUUUAUGUUGAGUAUAUGUAUGGUUGGCUAUGGUCUUAUAUGUUAAUGUUGACUUGUAUUAUGUCUCUUAUACUUGUAAAGGAAAGGUUUUAUCAAAUUGAUAUGAAAGCAUUUAUUCUUUGAAAAUGUCCUUUUUGGCAUGUUUUUGCAUGGUCUCCAUACUUAGUACUUAAUUGUGCUAACCCCUUUCUUUCCCUUUUUAACUAAAGUGUAGGGAUUUGGAGAUGGUGACAUGUCAUGGCUAUUUGAUAGGUUUCUAAGUGUUGAAGAUGAAGACUUGGUGAGUCCUCAUAGAUUCGAGGACAAUACCCUACAUGUUCCUUUUUAUGUAUUUCUAGUAUUUUGUUCAAGUCUUGUAUGGGCUUAGUCCUUAUUUUGUACUCUAAAGUACUAGAUGGUUUUGAGACAUCAUGUAUAAAGUCUAGAAAGUCUUCCGCUUGCUAUUUUUAAUUAAAUGUUUUCUUGGUAAAGAAAGUUUUAAAUUCAUUAUGUUUUUAGUGUCUAUGCGAUGAAUGAAUGCUAAGAGGCUUGUAUUAGACCUCUUCGAGGUCGAGUACGCCGGUUACGACUAAGGGGUGCUCCCGGGUCGUGACAGUAAUUAUAUGUUUCUAUACGAACAAAAAUACAUGACUUAAAUAUUUGAUUCUAUAACAUUACUAUCUGUUUCAUAUACUCUUAUUGUUUCUAUAAAUCCUAAUUUCAUACUUGUUAAUCUCUUAUUUUUAUUUUUCAGAAAUAAGGGAAAUCCUUUAGAUUUUUUGAAUAUGUCUUGAUUGUUAACCGCCUAAAAUAGAAUAUAUUGAGUCUUUUUAGUAUAAAUAUUACAUCUCUAACAUAUAAACGACAAACUUUAAUGUACGAUAACGUUUCAUACUCAUUGGGUAAGAAAUGUUGUUUUACUAUUUUGAAUCCUUUCUUUUGCUGGCUGCAAGCCAAGAUUCUUCAUUGUGAAACAUCUUUUAUUCUACUGGUUAGUGCUCUGUCAAAGUAAUUAUGAUUUAAACGUGAUAGUUCUUAGUAGUUAUGUUGGAAUUAUUGAUGAUAAACAAGGAAAGGAGACAUCAAAGGGAGAAAAGACAAACAAGCAGACAAGAGCUUCAUGUUUGGCUUUGAUCUCAUCGGAAAAGUCUAAUCCCUUCAUCUGGUCUGAAAAGGACAAAAGGGUGGUACACUCUGGGUUGAAGAAUUGUUUUAACAUUAGGCUAGCUAAAAGCCCACCUCAAAUAAAAGAAGUCAUCAGACCAUUUCGUAUAAAUGGCCCAAUAGACAAUAGAUAUGCAACAUACAUACAUAGAAAAGGAAUAAAGUUUGUUAUAGAUUAAGCCAAUUAAUCUUGUACAUCUGGCAUAGCAGUUAUAAUAGAAGGUUCCUUUUAUUUCCUCUUUUGUAUAUAAAUAUAGGAUCAAGAAUUGUAAAUUGGAUCGAUCAACAUACACAGAAAUUUUUCAAGUCCUGUUUGCUUUCUUUCAUGGUAUCAGAGCUUACCUAAUCAUAAAUUCUCUAAUCUAUCACCCUAAGCAACAGAAAUGCCUGAUUCUGUAGUCUCUAUUGGAACGACAACUGGUAGUACUAACACUACUCCUGGAAUUGAUUCCAAUCACCCCUAUUUCCUCACAAACUCAGAUGCACCGAGUAUGACCCUCGUUAAUGGUAUCUUUGAUGGCAAAGGAUACCAGGCAUGGAAGAGAUCUGCACUCAUUGCCCUUUCAGCAAAGAACAAGCUGGGUUUUAUUACAGGGGAUCAGCCUGCACCAACUGUUGGUUCUUCAGAUCUGCAGCUAUGGAGCAGAUGUAAUGACAUGGUUACUUCAUGGUUGCUCAACUCUCUCUCCAGGGAAAUUGCUGAUAGUGUGAUUUACUCCAGAUCUGCUAGAGAACUUUGGCUCAGCUUGGAGCAUCGAUUUGGUCAGUCAAAUGGUGCUAAACUCUUUCACCUGCAAAAGGAAUUAAGUAGGUUAGUUCAGGGAAACAAUAACAUAGCAGGAUAUUUCACUAAUCUUAAAAGACUCUGGGAUGAACUAGACUCUUUAAAUUCAAACAUCAAAUGUUCAUGUGUGUGUGUCUGUCAAGGAAAACAUAAAAUGGAGAAAUCUAUGGAGGAUGAAAAGCUUAUUCACUUCCUUAUGGGGCUCAAUGACACUUAUGCUCAGGCUAGAGGAAACAUCUUAAUGAUGAAUCCACUUCCUAACAUCAACAUUGCAUACUCCUUGAUCUUGCAAGAUGAAAAUCAGAGGAAGACUUACAUGAGUCCUUUUAUGCCCUCUGAUUCAUAUAGUAACAUGAAUCAGCAUAGAGGAAGGCAGCCUCAAUAAUUCACUGGUAACACAUUCAGAUCUGGAAAUACAUAUCCUAGAAAUGACAACUCACAAGGCUCACAGAAACCUCAAAAACAGUUUCAGAAAUUCAAAGGAAAAAAGGGAAAAUAUGAUCCUAAUGCAAACUGCACCCACUGUGGUAAGAAUGGACACUUGAAGUUGAACUGUUAUAGAUUGAUUGGGUUUCCAGAAGUCUUUCAGUUUACAAAUGAGAAGGGAAGUCAUGGUCAAAUAAGAGGAAAUGCAGUGGUCAACAUGGAGGAGGCAGAAGUUGGAUCCACUGCUCAUGCUAUCAAUCAACAUUUCACUUAGGAACAAAUCAAUUUUCUGUUUCAAAAUGGGAAAGAGCUACUUCAAGCUUUCACGCAGAUGAAGGUGGAAGAUAAGACCAACUUCUCAAAUGCUUCUGAGAUCAAUGCAAAUGUUGUAGCUGGUACACUAAUGAAGUAUUUUGGUUCCUGUUUCUCUGUUUUCAAUUCAAAUACAUGGAUUGUAGACUCGGGUGCUUCAGAACAUACGUGUUUUAAUCCUGAUUCUUUCUUAUCUAUGUCCCCCCUUACAGUUCCUCUAAACAUCAAUCUUCCUAAUUCAGAAUCUAUCAAUGUUACGCAUACUGGUGUUGUAUGUUUGUUUUCUGACCUAAUUCUGACUAAUGUCCUCUAUGUUCCUAGUUUCAAAUAUAACUUACUAUCAGUUCAUAAGUUAUGUUGUCAAUUCAACUUUUCAAUCUCUUUCACUUCUAAUGAAUGUCUACUGCAGGGCCUUUCCAUGAAGAAUCCUAAAGUUUUUGGUAAGGCUAAGGAGGGUCUCUACUUGCUUCAGCCAAAUCCUAAGACGUCUAUUCUUCAGUCAACUGAUUCCCAAUCUGUUUCUUUUCCUUUUUCUGUUUGUUCUAGUGCACUUUCUGAUGUAAAGUUGUGGCACAUUAGACUUGGGCAUCUGCCUUUAACAUCAAUGAAAAAUGUCAGUUUCAUUUCUGUUCCUUCUAGUCUUGAUUGUUAUUGUGAUAUUUGUCCACAAGCUAGGCAAUCUAGGCUUCCCUUUCCUAUCAGUCAUAAUAAAUCUAAAUCCAAGUUUGAGUUAAUUCAUGUUGACACCUGGGGGCCCUAUAAGGUACCAACUUAUAAUCAUCAUAAAUAUUUUCUUACUAUAGUUGAUGACUAUAGCAGGGCUACUUGGACAUAUCUAUUGGCUAGUAAGAGUAACUCGUUUCAUGCUUUACAGUCUUUUAUACAAAUGGUGCACAGACAGUUUGAUGCAAAGGUAAAGAUAGUGAGAUCAGAUAAUGCUCUUGAGCUAGGGAAAAGUGAGGCAGGUCUCUGUUUCUUCAACUCCCUUGGCAUAAUUCAUCAGACCUCUUGUGUUGCUUCCCCUCAACAAAAUGGUAUUGUUGAAAGGAAGCACAGACAUCUACUUGAGACUGCCAGGGCACUUAUGUUUCAAUCAAAAGUUCCUAUGAUUUAUUGGGGAGAGUGUAUCUUAACAGCUACUUUUCUUAUUAAUAGGUUCCCAUCCAAAGUUAUUGAUGGCAAGACGCCUUUUGAAUUGAUUUUUGGGAAAACCCCUUCUUAUCAUUUCUUAAGAUGUUUUGGUUGCUUAUGUUAUGCUAAUACUUUGAGUCAGGGGAGAGGUAAGUUUGACUCAAGGGCCAGAAGUUGUGCACUUCUGGGCUAUCCUAUAAAUCAGAAAGGUUACAAGUUAUUGGACUUGCAUACUAAAAAGAUUUUCAUCUCUAGAGAUGUGCAUUUUGUUGAGCAUAUCUUUCCUUUUGCUACUGCACAGUACGUUCCUCCUAUUUUUUCAGAACAUCCUAUUGAUUCUGAUUUUUUUUUCUUCUCCAUCUACUCCUCAGACUUCUCCCUCUCCUACUUUUCCUUCUUUGGAUCCAAUUUUGGUAUCCUCUCCUCCUUCUAACCUAUCUGAACCUGUUGUGGCUUCUCCCACCCCUGUUCCUCCUCUCAGAAGGUCCUCUAGGUCUACAUUAGGGAAAGCUCCUUCUCAUCUGCAUGAUUACAUCUGCAAUCUUAUAACUCUUACUGAUGUCACACACUCCUGUUUCUCCUCUACUCACACCCCUUCCACUAUUUUUGUUCAUACUCUUUCUCAACCUAAUCAAACCACCAUUCACAACACCUCUCAUAUCUUAGAACCUACCAGUUAUGCACAAGCUUGUUCUCAUCCAGGUUGGCUACAAGCCAUGGCUGCUGAACUUGAAGCUUUGCAAUCCGACUACACUUGGGAUGUGGUUCCUUUGCCUUAUGGUCGAAAAGCUUUACCUUGUAAGUGGGUCUACAAGGUUAAGCAACAUGUUGAUGGUACUUUGGAAAGACUGAAGGCCCGAUUGGUUGUGAAAGGUGACAUACAACAACAGGGGAUUGAUUUCACUGAAACCUUUUCCCCUGUUGUUAAGAUGACCACUAUUAGAUGUUUGUUGGCUAUUGCAGCCAAGAAAUCUUGGGACAUUUUUCAAUUUGAUGUCAAUAAUGCAUUUCUUAAAGGUGAUUUACAAGAGGAGGUUUAUAUGAAAUUUCCUAUAGGUUUGGUUCCUCCUCAACCUAAUAUGGUUUGCAAACUCCGCAAAUCUCUCUAUGGUCUUAAACAGGCUUCUCGGCAGUGGUAUGCCAAACUUGCCGGAGCUCUCACUUUUAAGGGUUUCACUGCCUCCCUCAAUGACUAUUCUUUAUUCUUCAAGAGGACAGGUUCUCUUACUACUAUUAUUGCCGUCUAUGUGGACGACAUCCUUAUUACGGGUGAUGAUCACCAAGAAAUCUCUGCUCUUAAGUUAUUUCUUCACUCAGAAUUUAAGAUCAAGGACCUUGGUCUUUUACACUAUUUUUUAGGCCUGGAACCACAUGGUAUUAUCAUCAGUCAAAGGAAAUAUACCUUGGAGCUUCUACAGGAGUUUGAUGUAGCUCAUCUUCCAUAUGUUUCUUCUCCUUUAGAUCCAUCUGUCAAAUUACUUGCAGAUUCAGGGGAUUUCAUGACAGAUCCUACACUAUACAGACAUCUCAUCGGCAAACUUAACUAUUUGACUCAUACCCGUCCCGAUUUGUCUCAUUCCGUUUUGAUUCUCAGUCAGUUUAUGCAAAAGUCGUGCCUGUCACAUUAUGAUGCUGCUUUGAGAGUGGUGAGUUACCUGCAGCAUUGCCCUAUUCAAGGUUUGUUCAUGUCUCCUUCAUCUUCAUUUUCCCUUCAAGCUUUUUGUGAUGCCGACUGGGCGUCCUGUAGAGAUACAAGGAGGUCGAUCAAUGGGUUUUUUAUCAGUUUGGGCGGUUCACCCAUUUCUUGGAAAUCUAAGAAACAGGCCUCUGUUUCCCUCUCUUCCGCUGAGGCGGAGUAUCGAUCUAUGCGGCGCCUUGUUGCCAAGUUGACCUGGUUGGUGCGCUUACUCUCCGAUCUGUCCGUUCCUCCUGACCUUCCAGUCCCAGUUCACUCCGACAGUCAGGCUGCUAUCCAUAUCGCUCGAAAUCCGGUCUUUCAUGAACGGACCAAACAUGUUGAUCUCGAUUGCCAUUUUGUUCGCCAACAGUACUUAUCUGGGCUCAUCUCACUCUCCUUUGUUCCGUCAAAAGCACAACUGGCUGACCUUUCUCACCAAAUCUCUCUCUGGUCCUCUCCAUCGCUCUCUUCUUCCCAAGAUGGGUCUCACUCAGCUCCUCUCCAUCUUGCUGGGGGAUGUUGGAAUUAUUGAUGAUAAACAAGGAAAGGAGACAUCAAAGGGAGAAAAGACAAACAAGCAGACAAGAGCUUCAUGUUUGGCUUUGAUCUCAUCGGAAAAGUCUAAUCCCUUCAUCUGGUCUGAAAAGGACAAAAGGGUGGUACACUCUGGGCUGAAGAAUUGUUUUAACAUUGGGCUAGCUAAAAUCCCACCUCAGAUAAAAGAAGUCAUCAGACCAUUUCGUAUAAAUGGCCCAAUAGACAAUAGAUAUGCAACAUACAUACAUAGAAAAGGAAUAAAGUUUGUUAUAGAUUAAGCCAAUUAAUCUUGUACAUCUGGCAUAGCAGUUAGAAUAGAAGGUUCCUUUUAUUUCCUCUUUUGUAUAUAAAUAUAGGAUCAAGAAUUGUAAAUUGGAUCGAUCAACAUACACAGAAAUUUUUCAAGUCCUGUUUGCUUUCUUUCAAGUUAAAAGCUACUACCUCAGUCUACAUAUAUUUGGUUAGCUCGAAUGCGUUAAGCAUUUAAUGGAAAGCAUUUAGGUAUGAUUCUAGACCUUAUUUGUGCUAGUUUUUUUGUUUAAUAGAUGCAAUAUGAGAAUUGAUCUUUGUUUGACUGAUACAGAUACUAAUAUUGUUGAGGCACUACGGAAAAUUGCCUCUCUACCUUCGAGAUUGGGGUAAGGUUCAGACACACUUGUUUUAGCACAUUGUUGAGCUCUAUCCUGCCCGAAUUCUUUGUGAAGAAAUUUCAGAUGAUACCCUUAAACUAGUACGAGGUUUUUCUACACUGCUUCCACCAUGUAGGAGCACUUUCAUCUUAUAUACAUACAUAAACCUAAUUUCAUAUGUAAUAAUUACAAAAUAUCUUUUCAAAAGACUGAUCAUCAAAUUUAGUUUAAUUGCUCAUGGAGGAUGCAUUAAAGGGGACUGAAAUUCUUAUAAUAAAGGUCCACAAAGUUGCAUCUACAACAUUGUGAUCCCAACUAGUGUAAACCUUAGUUGCACGGACGCUUCACUUUUGAUGCCGCACUCGUGUCGGAUUCUCCAAAUAUACACUAUUUUUGGCGAAUCGAACACACACCGUUGACAUUGUUGAAGAGUCCGAACAACAUAGACGUAAACUUGUUUUUCUUGAAUGGUUCUUCUGCAAUUAACUUUGGGUAGAGUGAUCUUGAUAAACUCUGUUUUAGAUUCACUACCUACUUAUGUUAUGUCGUUAUUUCCAAUUCCUCCAAUAGUUAUCAAAAAGCUGGACAGACUGAGAAGAAACCUCAUCUGGAAAAAAGGCAAAGAGGGAGAGGGCAAGGGUUACCAUUUAGUGAAAUGGAACACUGUGAUGCUAAGCAAAGAAAGAGGGGAACUGGGUAUUAGAAAUUUGAGAAUCCAAAAUAAGAGCCUUUUGAUGAAGUGGUUGUGCAGAUAUACUAGUGAGGAAGGAACCCUAUGGAAGGAGGUGAUAGUGGCAAAGUAUGGGGAAUUGAACCCAUGGUGUACAGAGAUAGUGUCAGAACCCUAUGGAUGGGGAGUAUUGAGGUCAAUCAGAGCUUUAUGGAACUCCAUGGAAGAAAAUGUGUUUCUCAAAGUUGGAAAUGGCAACAAGAUCAAGUUUUAGAGAGAUGGAUGGAUUGAUCAAAUUCCUCUAAGUGAGUCAUUCCCAGAUCUUUUCUCAAUCUGCAACAAUCCUAAAGCCAGAGUAUGUGAAUGUUGGACAACUCAAGGCUGGGACCUAUCUUUCAGAAGGCUAUUGAAUGACUGGGAAGUAGAUAGAGUGGCUUUUUCCUGGGAAAAUUGGGGGAAACCAAUCUAGUAACAAAUGCACCAGAUAGAGUUAUUGGAAGCACAACAAGGAUGGCAAAUUCACGGCAUACAAGUUGGGUUAGAGGCUACCGAUCAUCACUGGAAGAGUAUUUGGAGAGGAUUGAUCCCCACCAAAGUGAAAUGUUUCACCUGGUUAGUCAUCAGAAGAGCCUGCUUAACUCAAGAAGUGCUGCAGAAGAAAGGAAAGCAACUAGUCCCUAGGUGUUUCCUAUGCAAUUUGACUGGGGAAACAAACAAUCACCUAUUUUUACAUUGCAAAUUCACUGCACAGAUAUGGGAGUUGUUUCUCAACAUCACAUGCUAUAGCUGGACUAUGCCAGAACACACCUCUGAUCUUUUUAAAUGUUGGAUCAGAAAGGGGGUAGCAAGACUCAAAAGAAGUAGUGGAAGCUAAUACCAUCAUGCAUAUGGUGGUCAGUGUGGAAGGAAAGAAAUGGGAGAUGUUUUGAAGAUAGAUCUAAUUCCAUUCACAAAGUAAAAUGGAAUUAUUUGGUAUCCUUACUUUUUUGGUGUAAACAACUCUGCAUAGAAGAUGUAGAUCAAAUUAUAGAAUUAAUAGGGAGCUUGUAAUUUCGCUUAGGGCUGUAAAUUUUGAAGGUGGCCAGCAUGUCCUUAAUGCUGAAGAAUACAACUUUACCAAUGUUCAAAAAAAAAAGAAUUGCAAAGUGUUCAUAAUAGUUAACUAGAGUGACAAUUACAGUCAAUCUCUGCCUAAUUCUUGGAGGCUAGUAAGAUAUAACACUUAACUGUAGAUUGCAAUGAAAAUUUAUCCCAUUCUGGCACAUAUUUGUAAUAUCUUUUUUUAAUGAAGUGUUUAUGUUUUAAAAUAUAUACUUUAAUUCUACAUUUAAUAUGAGCAAAAAGUUAUAACAUAUUUCAGUUCUAGUAGACUACUACAUGUUAUCUUGAUGAUCGGAGUGAUGGAAAAUGGAUCAUGAAGGAGCAUUUGAAGCUCCGUCUCCCAGAGUCUUGAACACGUUAUAUGGUAUAUAACUCUGUGAAGUGAGCAAGUGCACUUUACCAAUUUAUUCAUAGCUUUGAAUUGUGUCUUUAUUUUGCUUCAACAUUUUGUUCGUAUAAAAUAAAGUUAUAGAAUUCUCAUGCAUCACAUGAUAUACAUAUAAGGUUGUUAAGUUGAGUAACAAUCUUUAGAGACGACACCCAACACAUGCAUUUCUGCUGAGGAAUAACUGAGGUGUGACUCCUUAAUUUGAGAGAACAAAGUCCAGUUAAUGGUUUGAAGCUUUUUCAACACCUAAAAGGUCUUUGUUUAGGUAUUUGGCAUUUGAGCUUAAUAUAUUAGGAUAAAACUGUGUUGUACAAUUUUUAUUAGUCAUAUUGGGUGUGUUGGGUUAAAUGUUUUGGAAAAUGUUUUCCAAACAAACUCAUUUUCCUUAAAUUUAAGGAAAAUGACUUCCCUUCAAAACUUAAGGAAAACAUUUUCCAAACCUCUCUUCCAACUUCAAAUUACAAUGACUUCAAAAUUUCUUUUUUUCACCCUACCCUUUACCCCCACCCACCUCCUACCCAGNNNNNNNNNNNNNNNNNNNNNNNNNNNNNNNNNNNNNNNNNNNNNNNNNNNNNNNNNNNNNNNNNNNNNNNNNNNNNNNNNNNNNNNNNNNNNNNNNNNNNNNNNNNNNNNNNNNNNNNNNNNNNNNNNNNNNNNNNNNNNNNNNNNNNNNNNNNNNNNNNNNNNNNNNNNNNNNNNNNNNNNNNNNNNNNNNNNNNNNNNNNNNNNNNNNNNNNNNNNNNNNNNNNNNNNNNNNNNNNNNNNNNNNNNNNNNNNNNNNNNNNNNNNNNNNNNNNNNNNNNNNNNNNNNNNNNNNNNNNNNNNNNNNNNNNNNNNNNNNNNNNNNNNNNNNNCCCCCCCCCCAAAAAAAUAAAUAAAUUUAAGUUUGUUUUUAAAAAAUAUUUUCAAUUUCAAAAAUUAUUUUCUACUCUAGUUAAAAUAAAAGAUAUUUUUUAAAAAUAUUUUUCAUUUAUAAGUCAAACAAUAAAAAUCUUUUCCGGAAAAUAUUUUCUACUCACCAACCAAACAUGAGAAAAUAAGUCAAAAAUCAACUUGUUUUCCAGGAAAACAUUUUCUAGGAAAACAUUUUCCUUCAUACCAAACACACCCAUUGUCUCUUUUCUCUUAAAUGCACUCUAUAAUCUUUCACUUCAAGGUUACGUCUUCUGUUGUAGUAUUACAUUAUGAGAAUUGUUAAAGUAAUCCUAUUUUUAACUCUUAAUUACAGGGACAAGAUUCUAGAGCAAAAAUGGUGUCGAGGAAGGACAAGUUGGAAGGCCUUUCGUGUUUUCUUUUCAUUAUAUAUGUAAAGUUACAUUGAAAAAUACACUCUUGUGUAAAACAUUUAAUUGACCUCUUA
rnacentral:lncRNA from 1 species